rfam:Pichia guilliermondii ATCC 6260 scaffold_9 genomic scaffold, whole genome shotgun sequence.
GUAUAUGAAAAUAAUAUUAUUUUAAGGAUCUAAAACUAAUAUUUAAGUUGAUAGAAAGGUUAAAAAUUUUAACCAAUCAAAUCAUGAAAAUGAGUAAAACAAAUCGAGUGGAAUGAAACAUCUGAGUAGCUCGAAAGUAACCAACAGGGGCUAUAUAAGUAACGGUGAGUGAAAGUAUAGUAGUCUUAAAGUAUCAUCAAGAGGUGAGAAUAAAGUAGUGUCUACUACUAAGACAAUAAAUAAGUAUUAAGUUAAAAGUACCGUGAGGGAAAAGGAGUAAAUAGAAUAAUAGAGAGCAGUCAUAGUAUGGCGUACCUCUUGUAUAAUGGGCCAGUGAGUUAUAUAUAUUAGCGUAAUAAUAAAAUUAUAAAGAAAUUGAGUUAAUCAAUCUUUAGUUAAUAUAUAUAGGCCCGAAAGCAAACGAUCUACACAUGUCUAAGAUCUAAUAUUUAUAUUAGAGUCUGAAUAGGUGGAUGUAGCAAUAUUCUCUAAAGAGGUGUGUGUAGGAGUGACAGACAAAUCUGGUUUGCCGAUAGCUGGUUUUCUGCGAAAUAUAUAUUAGUAUAGCCUUUACAUAAAGUAAUAACUGGUACAGCACUUAAAUCAUUUUGGGGGAUUAUAAUAUAAUUUUAUCAAAAGAUUUAAACCUCGGAACAGUAAACCAUAUUGUAAGGAGUCAGACUUAUUGCGAUAAGGUAGUAGGUCUAAAAGGAAACAACCUAGACUAUUAAAUAAAUGUCCCAAAUAAGUAUAUAACUUUAAAGUUAUAUAUAAUUUAUAUUUAUAUAAAUUAUAUUAAGUGAAUAAAAUCUAAUAACUUUAGAUAGACAAUCAGUCAGCGGGUUUGACAAUAAUCAUCUGUUAAUGGACAUGUAACAAUGCACUGAUGUGACAUAGUUAUUAGAGAAAAUAUACGGGUCUAAAUAUUUAACAUAAUUAUAGAUAUAAAUAUUUUUAAAUAUUUAUAUGGUAGCAGAAUAUAUGAUAAAAUAAAUAUAAUCAUAAAGAGAUUGCUGGCUUGAGUAACGAUAGGUAGUAUAAGACUACCCUCCAAUAAAAUAUAUAUAUAUAUAUUUAAAGAAUCAUAAGGUUUUAUAAUAAACUAACGGUCCCUAAGAUUAAGAUAGAAAUAUAAAAUUGAUGGGUGAUAGAACAAGAAAAGUAAAAGAACCGUACUGUAAACCGACACAGGUAUGAUAAAGGAGAAUGAGACAACUACUGUGAAUGAACUCGGCAAAUUAGCAUAAAGCUUUUAGUCGUGCGACUGUUUACCAAAAACAUAGCUUACUGCGUUCUAGAAAUAGUAAGUAUAGUAAGUGAUAUCUGCCCGGUGUAUGCCUAAUAUAUUUAAUAUAUUAUUUGUAUAUUAUUUGAAAAGGUAUGUUAACGGCGGUCUUAUUGUGAGGAUCCGAAGGUAGCGAAAUUCAUUGACGCAUAAUUGGUGUCCUGCAUGAAUGAAUACACGAUGCGACAACUGUAUCCAUAGUAGACUCAGUGAAAUAGCAUUCGCGGUGAAGAUGCCGUGUACCCGUAGUUUGACAAAAAGACCCUAUGCAGCUUUACUAUAUCUUUAUUUUGAUUUGACAACUUUUUAUUUCAGUUUAUUAGGUAAUUAUAUUUAUCAUAAUUUACUUAUGAUUAUUUUAAUAAUAACAAUGAGAUACCUAUAUUUAAAGUAAUAGAAUCUUAUCUUUUAAUUUAUAAUAAUUAAAUAUAUAAACUUAUAAAAAUAAGUAUAUAUAUAUUUUAUAAAUUUUAUAAUAAGAGACAGAGUAAAGAGGUUAGUUUCGAUGGGGCGUCGACAUCAGCGAAAGCAUCUGAUGUGUCUAUAAAUUUAUAAUGUUUUAUUAAAUUUAUUAUAUAAUAGUAAGACAACGUACAAUAUUUCUAUAUGGUAAAUAGAAUAUAAAUAUAUAAUUAUAUAUAAAUAUAUGUAAGGAUAACAACAUAAUUGUGCGAUGAUAAUAACACUAACAAGUGGAAUUAGUACUUAAGUAGAGUGUAGUGAACAGGCAUAAUCAUUAGAUUUGGAUGUCGAUAACGGAUUAAAGUUACGCUAGGGAUUAAAUGUUAGUCCCUUAUAUAUAGAAAUAUAUAUAUUA